rnacentral:rRNA from 1 species
UACGUAGGUGGCAAGCGUUGUCCGGAUUUACUGGGCGUAAAGGGCGUGCAGGCGGUCUUCUAAGUCCGGGGUGAAAGCUCCCGGCUCAACUGGGAGAGGUCCUUGGAUACUGGCGGACUUGAGGGAGGCAGAGGAAAGUGGAAUUCCCGGUGUAGUGGUGAUAUGCGUAGAUAUCGGGAGGAACACCAGUGGCGAAGGCGGCUUUCUGGGCCGUACCUGACGCUGAGACGCGAAAGCGUGGGGAGCAAACAGG